UAGGGAAUCUUCCGCAAUGGACGCAAGUCUGACGGAGCAACGCCGCGUGAGUGAAGAAGGUUUUCGGAUCGUAAAGCUCUGUUGUUAAGGAAGAACGAGUGUGAGAAUGGAAAGUUCAUGCUGUGACGGUACUUAACCAGAAAGGGACGGCUAACUACGUGCCAGCAGCCGCGGUAAUACGUAGGUCCCGAGCGUUGUCCGGAUUUAUUGGGCGUAAAGCGAGCGCAGGCGGUUAGAAAAGUCUGAAGUGAAAGGCAGUGGCUCAACCAUUGUAGGCUUUGGAAACUGUUUAACUUGAGUGAAGAAGGGGAGAGUGGAAUUCCAUGUGUAGCGGUGAAAUGCGUAGAUAUAUGGAGGAACACCGGUGGCGAAAGCGGCUCUCUGGUCUGUAACUGACGCUGAGGCUCGAAAGCGUGGGGAGCGAACAGG
rnacentral:rRNA from 1 species